AGAAAGCUCCGGCUAACUCCGUGCCAGCAGCCGCGGUAAUACGGGGGGAGCAAGCGUUGUCCGGAUUUAUUGGGCGUAAAGAGCGUGUAGGCGGGCCGAAAAGUCGGUGGUGAAAUCUCUCGGCUUAACUGAGAAUCUGCCGUCGAUACUGUCGGUCUUGAGUAUGGAAGAGGGAAGCGGAAUUCCUGGUGUAGCGGUGAAAUGCGUAGAUAUCAGGAAGAACACCAGUAGCGUAGGCGGCUUCCUGGUCCGUUACUGACGCUAAAACGCGAAAGCGUGGGGAGCAAACAGGAUUAGAUACCCUGGUAGUCCACGCCGUAAACGAUGGGUACUAGGUGUUGGAGGUUUUGACCCCUUCAGUGCCGAAGCUAACGCA
rnacentral:rRNA from 1 species